rnacentral:rRNA from 1 species
CAGCCGCCGCGGUAACACGAAGGGUGCAAGCGUUACUCGGAAUUACUGGGCGUAAAGCGUGCGUAGGUGGUGGUUUAAGUCCGUUGUGAAAGCCCUGGGCUCAACCUGGGAAUUGCAGUGGAUACUGGGUCACUAGAGUGUGGUAGAGGAUAGUGGAAUUUCCGGUGUAGCAGUGAAAUGCGUAGAGAUCGGAAGGAACAUCUGUGGCGAAGGCGACUAUCUGGGCCAACACUGACACUGAGGCACGAAAGCGUGGGGAGCAAACAGGAUUAGAUACCCCUGUAGUCCAUGUCUCUUAUAC